rnacentral:lncRNA from 1 species
AGAAUACAGCCCCCUGGUUGGGGCAUCAGAAUUCCUGUGGGGGUGCCCCGAGUAGCGGUCACAGAGAGGGGUCUUCGCUAAGCUGCUUUCAAUCCAGCUCACACAAGUUCUUGCUAAUCUGCUGGUUUUUAAACUCGUGAUCUGACUCACUCUAUUGACCAGGACGACCCUGUUGCAGUACAUGGUUGUCUCCAGUCACCUGGCUGGUAGAUUCCUCCAAAUCUAUGGGGAAGGACUAAAGGGCCCCCAAGAGGCUAUAGCGAUGACCAACAACUUGGAAACUUGGAAGUAACAGGUAAUAACAAUGAUGCUGGGGAUAGAAACAUGACAGGUACACAGCAUGUACUAAAUGUAGGGUCCCAGUACUACAGGCACCAUUCCAAAUCAACCUAAAUGUAAUGGUUUCCAUCCUCUGGCUACCCUGCCUUUUAGAAAUUUUUCACAACAGAAAAAUAGUGUGCUAGCCGGUGACAG